UACGUAGGUGGCAAGCGUUGUCCGGAAUUAUUGGGCGUAAAGCGCGCGCAGGCGGUUCCUUAAGUCUGAUGUGAAAUCUCGCGGCUCAACCGCGAGCGGCCAUUGGAAACUGGGGAACUUGAGUGCAGGAGAGGGGAGCGGAAUUCCACGUGUAGCGGUGAAAUGCGUAGAGAUGUGGAGGAACACCAGUGACGAAGGCAGUUCACUAGGCCGAUUCAGACACUGAGAUGUGAAAGCGUGGGGAGCGAACGGGAUUAGAAACCCCGGUGU
rnacentral:rRNA from 1 species